rnacentral:misc_RNA from 1 species
CAGUUGGUUAGAGCGCGCGCUUGAUAAGCGUGAGGUCGGAGGUUCAAGUCCUCCCAGGCCCACCAAUUCGCAAUCCGCAAGGAUUGUCGAUCUCCUUGACACGAAGGUUAUCAGGGGCCGUAGCUCAGCUGGGAGAGCGCCUGCUUUGCAAGCAGGAUGUCGUCGGUUCGAUCCCGUCCGGCUCCACCAACCAUCUUCUGCGAAGAUGGGGCGUGUCGAGUAGAGACGGUGAGAAAAAAGUCAUUCGAAAAAGAGUUUGCGGCGAGCUUAGCGCUCUCUGCCUGUUCUGUUUGACAUCGUAAAGAGAAGAUUUGUUCGAACUUCAUGAUCCGCAAGGGCCGUGAUUUGUCGCUGGAGACGCUCAAUCUCCAGCAUAUGAUGGGUUUGCCUAACCGCGCCCUCGAACGGAUCUCGAGAAGCUGGUCUUUUUGUGCCAAUUCCAUUGAAGCGGGUCCCGCACAGGAUCUGGUUCGAGGCGACGAUCCUUCGAGGUCGCGCUUAGCUAACCUCGCAAGAGAGAGGCUGAAGCGACGAUUUCUUCGAAAUCGCGCCUGCGUGAUGGGUAUUGGCAAUGAGAACGAUCAAGUGUCUUAAGGGCAAUUGGUGGAUGCCUUGGCAUGCACAGGCGAUGAAGGACGUGAUACGCUGCGAUAAGCUACGGGGAGGUGCGAAUACCCUUUGAUCCGUAGAUCUCCGAAUGGGGAAACCCGGA